GCGCCUACAUUGGCAACACAUAUUCUAAAAUUGGAACAAUACAGAGAAGAUCAGCAUGCCCGUGUGUAAGAAUAACAUGCAAAUUUUUGAACGCUCCAUAUAUUUUU